rnacentral:rRNA from 1 species
GACGUAGGGCGCGAGCGUUGUCCGGAUUUAUUGGGCGUAAAGAGCUCGUAGGCGGCUUGUUGCGUCGGCUGUGAAAACCCGCGGCUUAACCGUGGGCUUGCAGCCGAUACGGGCAGGCUAGAGUUCGGUAGGGGAGACUGGAAUUCCUGGUGUAGCGGUGAAAUGCGCAGAUAUCAGGAGGAACACCGGUGGCGAAGGCAGCUGCCUGGCCUAGAACUGACGCUGAGGUGCGAAAGCGUGGGGAGCGAACGGG